rfam:Schistosoma rodhaini strain Burundi genome assembly, scaffold: SROB_scaffold0002780
ACACUGCUGAUGAGUCCCACAAUAGGAUGAAACGGCCGUCGAGUGC